CAUGCCCCCUCCCCAACCAGCCAUUUCCUCUCCCUCCAUCUCCCCACGCCACUCUCCCUACUCCCUCUCUCUCUCUAUCUCCCUCUCUCUAGCUCCCCAUGCAACAGCAGCCCCCCUCCCAUGGAGCUGACGACCGAGCCCUCCCAAGCUCCACUCUCACCUUGGCAAGCUCUCCCAUGGCGUCUCCCCCACCUCUACGGCAGUAAGGUGUAGGACUGAGAGAUGACGAUCGUGCAAGUGAUGUGGUGCCAACCACAAGAUGCAGUUGGUGGACGAUCUGAAGAGAUGAUGGACUUAUCCAGUGGAUGCUCGCCAAGCGAGUACCCACCCCAGCAAACACUAUCUAAGUGUAAAAAUAAAGGCAAGCCCCGGUUUUAUGCAUAACCGUUAUAUAUGCUAUUUUACUGCACUUAAUGUUUGUAGGCUUGUAAUGUGCACUUAAGUUGUAAUACCCAAUUUGUAAACAUUGAGAAAAGAGUAAAUCUCCUUAUAUAUUUUGCCUCUACUUA